ACUAGCAGCCAUAUCGCCCUGCAACUCACAACCGGCAACCCACUGAAUCUAAGCAGGGCUGAGCCUGGUCAGUACCUGGUUGGGAGACCUUCCUGUGAAAACCUGUGGUUGUUGCUGGAA
rnacentral:rRNA from 1 species